GAAAAAGUAUGCAAGAACUGCUAACUCAUGCCCCCGCGUAUAAAACGCGGCUUUUUCC
rnacentral:tRNA from 1 species